rnacentral:lncRNA from 1 species
CGGCUAUGAGCGCUGUAACAAACGAAAAAAAGAAAAGAAAAGCGCGAGCGCCUCGAGUGUGACGUCACAGCGCCGCGGCUAUAUAAAGCCCUGCUCAGGAUUCUAACGGCAGACGCGGAUCUGGUUGAGUGAGUGUUUGAAAUCGGCGACUGAUUCCACUCACUUUAGAUUCAAGGUUUAAACAGUCUUUUCAGACUAUUCACAGUUUACACACAUUGUGUCCACAAUUAUCAGUAUAAUCUGAUUUCUGUCAUAAUCAAGCGAUGUCUACAACAGCUGAGCGCAGUGAGUCUGUCGCUCGAGCCGCCUGGGCUUCGAAAGCAUCGAUCUGAGCGAUGAAAUGAUGGACAACAGCCCAGCAGACGAAGCUUCCAAAGGGAAGAAGGGGAAAGCAGUGCGUGUCUUCUUCCGGAAGCUGUGCAAGGCUGUAAAGCGGCCGUUCGUCUGCUGCGGGCCGGAAAGAGUGGUGCGUCUCACACUGGACGAUCCCGAGGUGACGCCUGUCUCCGGUCCGACGGCUGCCGCAGAUCCUGCCGUUCUGGAGCUGCUGUGUCUGCCGGGGCAGGUGUGUGACGAUCCGGAGCCGACGUCGUGUGUGCCACGUUCCUCCGGGAUCAUCGAGCAAAUGCCGGAUCCUAUUCCAGAUUCAUCCGCUCUGAAUCUGUGUCACAAAAAAGCUAAGAAAGGAAGGAAGAGGAGAGCGGUCCGUGCCUUCUUCCGGAGAGCAUGUGAGGCUGUGAAGCAGCUCUUCCCCUGCUGCGACCCGGACCGAGUCCAGCCUCCUAAAGCAGAGCCGGAUCUGGACCAAUCCCAGCUCGUUCCUGAGCUGCUGUUUCUGACGGAGCAGGACCAGGUCUCCGUAGAUCUCCAGUCGUCUCCUGAGGAAGAAGGUCCCUCUGAGAUCCAGCAAGAGGCCCACGAUGCAGUUCUGCCCGGUUCAGUGUCCGGUUCAGUGUGUGAUUCAGGUCCCGGUUCAGUGCCGUCGAUCGUGUCAGAAAUGGCACCGGACACAGUGUCGCCUGAUCCAGAAAUCGAACGGCCUCAAGGUGAGUCAUUA